rnacentral:rRNA from 1 species
CGGGACACGUGGUAUCCUGUCUGAAUAUGGGGGGACCAUCCUCCAAGGCUAAAUACUCCUGACUGACCGAUAGUGAACCAGUACCGUGAGGGAAAGGCGAAAAGAACCCCGGCGAGGGGAGUGAAAAAGAACCUGAAACCGUGUACGUACAAGCAGUGGGAGCCUCUUUAUGGGGUGACUGCGUACCUUUUGUAUAAUGGGUCAGCGACUUAUAUUCUGUAGCAAGGUUAACCGAAUAGGGGAGCCGAAGGGAAACCGAGUCUUAACUGGGCGUUAAGUUGCAGGGUAUAGACCCGAAACCCGGUGAUCUAGCCAUGGGCAGGUUGAAGGUUGGGUAACACUAACUGGAGGACCGAACCGACUAAUGUUGAAAAAUUAGCGGAUGACUUGUGGCUGGGGGUGAAAGGCCAAUCAAACCGGGAGAUAGCUGGUUCUCCCCGAAAGCUAUUUAGGUAGCGCCUCGUGAAUUCAUCUCCGGGGGUAGAGCACUGUUUCGGCAAGGGGGUCAUCCCGACUUACCAACCCGAUGCAAACUGCGAAUACCGGAGAAUGUUAUCACGGGAGACACACGGCGGGUGCUAACGUCCGUCGUGAAGAGGGAAACAACCCAGACCGCCAGCUAAGGUCCCAAAGUCAUGGUUAAGUGGGAAACGAUGUGGGAAGGCCCAGACAGCCAGGAUGUUGGCUUAGAAGCAGCCAUCAUUUAAAGAAAGCGUAAUAGCUCACUGGUCGAGUCGGCCUGCGCGGAAGAUGUAACGGGGCUAAACCAUGCACCGAAGCUGCGGCAGCGACACUAUGUGUUGUUGGGUAGGGGAGCGUUCUGUAAGCCUGUGAAGGUGUGCUGUGAGGCAUGCUGGAGGUAUCAGAAGUGCGAAUGCUGACAUAAGUAACGAUAAAGCGGGUGAAAAGCCCGCUCGCCGGAAGACCAAGGGUUCCUGUCCAACGUUAAUCGGGGCAGGGUGAGUCGACCCCUAAGGCGAGGCCGAAAGGCGUAGUCGAUGGGAAACAGGUUAAUAUUCCUGUACUUGGUGUUACUGCGAAGGGGGGACGGAGAAGGCUAUGUUGGCCGGGCGACGGUUGUCCCGGUUUAAGCGUGUAGGCUGGUUUUCCAGGCAAAUCCGGAAAAUCAAGGCUGAGGCGUGAUGACGAGGCACUACGGUGCUGAAGCAACAAAUGCCCUGCUUCCAGGAAAAGCCUCUAAGCAUCAGGUAACAUCAAAUCGUACCCCAAACCGACACAGGUGGUCAGGUAGAGAAUACCAAGGCGCUUGAGAGAACUCGGGUGAAGGAACUAGGCAAAAUGGUGCCGUAAC